UNGAUGUUUAUUCUUCCCAGGUGACCUCGC
rnacentral:piRNA from 1 species